rnacentral:misc_RNA from 1 species
GCUUAAAAUAAAAUUAAUCCCCCCUCAAUUCUUAAGCUUCAAUAAUUGCCCUGGCUAAAAUAAAAUUCCAAUGUUCCUGCACUUAUAUAUGAAAGCACAAAUAAAGUUAAACUGGCACCUACCUCAUGCGCAGGUGCGCUCACACACGCAUAACAUAUUAGAGGUCUUAAUUUUGGAUUGGUGGGAACUCAUGCCAAUGUCUAGUACAAAGGUAAGCUUCGGUCCUACACAUGAAAGAGAUGGCGUGCAGAGACUCAGAAUUUAGGAAUGUAGGAUAUCCAAUUCCUAAUGUCAAGUGGGUUUACUGGCUUUCAUAUUUUGAUAGUAAAAGUUGAUUCACGUUCAAAGGUAUGUGAAAAAAUCAACCAAACAAAUAUAAGAAGCUAUAAUUUACAAUUUUUGGCAGUCUGGCAUUAAUAAGAUUUCACACCCAUUAUAUAUCCAAAUCAUCAUCUGGAUCCUCAUCUGAGUCUGGCCUCUCAUCAUCUGAGUCACGAAAAUAUAUUAUCUCACCCUCACCAGAGGCCUCAUUUCUUUGCAAAUUCCCAGUUGACGCAAGUGUUGCCUCAUUUUUGUUAUCCUCGAGAGAUCUUCGACCAUCAUAAAUUUGCAUGGGUUUGCCAUUUCCUUGGUGCUCAAAAGGGAGUACAACCUUAGCCCUUUCGGUCUGCUCCUUCUCUGACAGCUGCAGGCUAAACUGCACCUUUGGCAAAAGGCCUUGAUUAAUAGUUCCAUCUUCAGAUGAAACAGGUGUAAAAUUAAUUCCUGACUGCUCGAUAUGAAAUUCUUCACACAUCAAGCGUACACGCCCAUUUCGGCGCUUGAAUCUGACAUUAAGCUUUCCUUUCUGGAAAUUCUGUUUCAACAGAGAGACAUUUUCCGAAUCCCAUCUCUGCCCACUAGCAGAUGGAUUUAGUGGUUCCACAUUGGCCACCAUAGAGGACAUAUAUUCAACAGAAGAUGUCACCCUCACUUCAUGAAGGUCUGAAUGUAGCAACCAAUAGAUGCAAGAUAUUUGAUCAUGACUACGAAGGUUGCUUAAAAGGCCUGCAACUCUUGAAAGAGAAGCGUGUCUUAACAUUUCAUUUACCGAGUCUAUGGCAACUGAAAAAUGAGCUUUGCCCUGUCCAGCCAAUCCUUUCCCCAAUUCAAGAAUCAAAGAGUAUAAGUUGUCCAAAUCUCUCACAUCCUUACAAAGGUGAGUCACGCUAGAAGCUUCAUCUGAUAUACACAUAGCAUUUCCAGACUCCACAAGCUUACCCUUCCACCCAAGAGGAUCCGUAUAACAAUCCAAAAUCUGAAUCCUAUAACAGACAGUUGAGUUCAUAGGUCUCUGCACAUAAAUUUAAUCUAGCAGAAAACAAUGCCAACAAAAUUCAAACAUUCUGCAAAUACACACAAUAAGAAAAAUUCAAAACAAAUAUUCUCAACUAAAGACUUAAUAAAGAGUGAAAGUCAUUUAUGUUCAUAGGUCUGCACUAUGUUUCCUAUCCAAGGAAAAAAUAACAAAAAGAAGAAAACUUCAAAAUAAAUAACAGCAUAGACAAUACAGGAGGUUGGUAAUUUUCCCACAUUUUCUUUUACAUUCCUUCAUUUAAUCAACAAGAAGAAAGAUUGAAAAACAUAAGCUACUUAAAUUCAAAACUUUACCAUUUAUGAGAGGAAGUAACAUCUACUCCUCUCCUCUUCAACAAGUCAACAUAAAACGAUGGGCUUCGUGUAAACGCAACAACUACAACACCUCGAGACUGGGAUUUUCCUUCUAAAAUGAAGGAGGAUAAUUGGGAGAGCACAUAAGCAAAGACGUCAAACCCGAAUGGAGAAGCAGCAGUAUCUUUGAUAGUGAGAGCUGGUGCAUGCUCUCCUUCUAGAGAUCCAUCUCGGAGGGUUCUGCAAAUUGAUUCCGCCAUUAUUGAUGGCGAAUUUUGAGAACUUGGAGACCUCUGCGUUUGGAGUAAAAACCCUAGUUUAAGGCUUUGGAGAUCAUUUGGGAAAUUUGCAGUGAAGUCCUUGAGGUUCUGCAUUACCACCAAAAUGCCCUGGGCUUCCUUUAUUCAUAUUUUAGGUGUUUUUGAUGGUAAUUGAGA